UGGAAACUUGCCAGCCUCCAUAACAGUACAAAAGAAGGUAAUUUCAGAGAAAGAGAGAAGCAUAAAGAGUUGUUGGCAUAUGUGAUAGGAGAAGUUCAGCUCAGAUCAGGCCUGAGACGACCUAGGCAAUGCAUUCUACAUGAGGCAGACACCAAAGUUCUUCUGCUAGUGACUUCAGCCAACACAGCAUACUCUUCCUGGAAAUCAAAGACCACGUUAUAACCAGCAGUACAAGCUAAAGGGCAAAAUUUUCGAAGUGGAACUUCUCUAACAGAAAAAAACAACAACAACAGUGGAACAGUUGGAAAGAAGGAAGAAAACUGACAGUGACAGAAUGGCUAUGUUUCCAUUACGCAUAAUCUUGCAUUCACGCACACAUAAGAAUACAAAUGCAAAACAACACAAAACAAAAAGCAGAAUGAUACA
rnacentral:lncRNA from 1 species